rnacentral:rRNA from 1 species
GACGAACGCUGGCGGCGUGCCUAAUACAUGCAAGUCGAGCGAGACUCUUCGGAGUCUAGCGGCGGACGGGUGAGUAACACGUGGGCAACCUGCCUGUAAGACUGGGAUAACACCGGGAAACCGGUGCUAAUACCGGAUAAUCCUUUUCCUCUCAUGAGGAAAAGUUGAAAGUCGGUUUCGGCUGACACUUACAGAUGGGCCCGCGGCGCAUUAGCUAGUUGGUGAGGUAACGGCUCACCAAGGCGACGAUGCGUAGCCGACCUGAGAGGGUGCUCGGCCACGAUGGUACUGAUACACGGCCCAGACUCCUACGGGAGGCAGCAGUAGGGAAUCUUCCACAAUGGACGAAAGUCUGAUGGAGCAACGCCGCGUGAGCGAUGAAGGCCUUCGGAUCGUAAACCCCUGUCGAGAGGGACGAAAGGUGAAUGGGUGAAUAAUCCAUUCGCUUGACGGUACCUUUAGAGGAAGUUCCGGCCAACUUCGUGCCAGCCGCCGCUGUAAUAC